rnacentral:rRNA from 1 species
UGGGGAAUUUUGGACAAUGGGGGAAACCCUGAUCCAGCCAUCCCGCGUGUGCGAUGAAGGCCUUCGGGUUGUAAAGCACUUUUGGCAGGAAAGAAACGUCAUGGGUUAAUACCCCGUGAAACUGACGGUACCUGCAGAAUAAGCACCGGCUAACUACGUGCCAGCAGCCGCGGUAAUACGUAGGGUGCAAGCGUUAAUCGGAAUUACUGGGCGUAAAGCGUGCGCAGGCGGUUCGGAAAGAAAGAUGUGAAAUCCCAGAGCUCAACUUGGAACUGCAUUUUUAACUACCGGGCUAGAGUGUGUCAGAGGGAGGUGGAAUUCCGCGUGUAGCAGUGAAAUGCGUAGAUAUGCGGAGGAACACCGAUGGCGAAGGCAGCCUCCUGGGAUAACACUGACGCUCAUGCACGAAAGCGUGGGGAGCAAACAGG